AUGCUGGGCCGCUACUUUGGCCGCGCCGGCGCCGGCGCCGCCGAGGACCCGGCGCCGGAGCCCUUCUCCUUCCCCGAGCCCCUCCCGACGUGGCCGCAAGGUGGCGGGUUCGCGCGGGGGAGGAUCCGCGUGGCCGGAGGGGAGCUGGAGCUCGCGGCGGCCACGGCCUUCGACAGAAUCUGCACCCUGUCGCCGUCGGCGCGGCUGCAGCGCUGCAACGGCGCCACCUUCUACCGGCCGGUCGGCGUCCCCGAGGGCUUCACCCUGCUCGGCCACUACUGCCAGCCCAACAGCCGCAAACUCCACGGCCACCUCAUCGUCGCCAGGGCCGCCGACCCGCCGCGCUCCGCGGAGCCGCCCCUCCGCGCGCCGCGGGACUAUGAGCUCGUCUGGGCCUUCCACGCAACUGCCGGUGCCGCCGGCGCGAGUGCGGGCGCGGGCUCUUGCGUCGGCUACGGCCGCAGCGACGCCUACUUCUGGCUCCCCGUGCCGCCGGAGGGGUACCGGGCGCUCGGGAUCCUCGUCACGACGGAGCCCGGCAAGCCGCCGCUCGACGCGGUGGGCUGCGUGCGCGCCGACCUCACCAACGAGUGCGAGCCGCACGGCUCGCUGCUCCACCUGCAGCUCACGCGCCCGACGUCCGCGUCGCCCGGCAAGGCCUUCGCCGUGCGUGGCGUGAGGCCGCUGAAAAGAGGGAUGCGGGAGAAGGGCAUCGGCGCCGGCACUUUCUGGUGCGCCGCCGCGGACGGGUGCUCCUCCCCGGCCCCGGGCGAGCAGGGCCUCGCGUGCCUCAAGAACGUCGACCUCGACCUGUCGGCGAUGCCGACCCUGGAGCAGGUGCACGCCGUGAUCCAGCAUUACGGCCCCACGCUCUACUUCCACCCGAAGGAGGUCUACCUGCCGUCGUCCGUCGCCUGGUACUUCAAGAACGGCGCCAAGAUUUUCAAGAAAGGGGGAGGCGCCGUCGGCGAGGAGAUCGACGCCGAGGGGUCCAACCUCCCGGGCGGAGGGUGGAACGACGGGGAGUACUGGAUGGACAUACCGGGCGGCAAGAGGAGGCAGGCGGUCAUCCGCGGCGACAUCGAGAGCGCGGAGCUGUACGCGCACGUGAAGCCGGCGAUGGGCGGGGCGUGCACCGACGUGGCCAUGUGGGUAUUCUGCCCGUUCAACGGCCCGGCCAGGCUGAAGCUCGGCCCGAUCAACCUCCCGCUGGGCACGACCGGGCAGCACGUCGGCGACUGGGAGCACUUCACGCUCCGGGUCAGCAACUUCACCGGCGAGCUCAUGGCCGUCUACUACUCGCAGCACAGCGGGGGCAGGUGGGUGGACGCGGCCAAGCUGGAGUACGCCGCGGGGAACAGGCCUGCGGUGUACUCGUCCCGGAACGGGCACGCGAGCUACCCGCGCGCCGGCGAGUACCUGCAGGGCUCGGCGGCGCUCGGGGUCGGGAUCCUGAACGAGGCCGCCCGGAGCAAGCUGUCCGUCGACUCCAGCGUCAAGUACCGCGUGGUGGCGGCGGAGUACCUGGGAGAGGGCGUCGUGGCCGAGCCCCAGUGGCUGCAGUUCAUGCGGGAGUGGGGGCCGACGGUGAUCUACAGGUCGAGGACGGGGACGGAGCGGAUGGUGAAGAGUAUGCCCCAGCGGCUCAGUUGUCCGGCGGAGAACAUGCUGAACAAGAUGCCGAACGAGCUCUCCAAAGAGGAAGGGCCGACCGGGCCCAAGGAGAAGAAUAUGUGGGAGGGAGAUGAAAGAUGGUAG
rnacentral:rRNA from 1 species